rnacentral:rRNA from 1 species
UACAGAGGUCCCAAGCGUUGUUCGGAUUCACUGGGCGUAAAGGGUGCGUAGGUGGCGGGGUAAGUUUGAUGUGAAAUCUCCGGGCUUAACCCGGAAACUGCAUUGAAUACUAUCUCGCUCGAGGGUUGGAGGGGGGACUGGAAUUCUCGGUGUAGCAGUGAAAUGCGUAGAUAUCGAGAGGAACACCAGUGGCGAAGGCGAGUCCCUGGACAACUCCUGACACUGAGGCACGAAAGCUAGGGGAGCAAACAGG